GAUGAACGCUAGCUACAGGCUUAACACAUGCAAGUCGAGGGGAAACGAUAUUGGAAGCUUGCUUCCGAUAGGCGUCGACCGGCGCACGGGUGAGUAACGCGUAUCCAACCUGCCCACCACUUGGGAUAACCUUGCGAAAGUAAGACUAAUACCCAAUGAUAUCUCUAGAAGACAUCUGAAAGGGAUUAAAGAUUUAUCGGUGAUGGAUGGGGAUGCGUCUGAUUAGCUUGUUGGCGGGGUAACGGCCCACCAAGGCUACGAUCAGUAGGGGUUCUGAGAGGAAGGUCCCCCACAUUGGAACUGAGACACGGUCCAAACUCCUACGGGAGGCAGCAGUGAGGAAUAUUGGUCAAUGGGCGAGAGCCUGAACCAGCCAAGUAGCGUGCAGGAUGACGGCCCUAUGGGUUGUAAACUGCUUUUAUAAGGGAAUAAAGUUAGUCUCGUGAGACUUUUUGCAUGUACCUUAUGAAUAAGGACCGGCUAAUUCCGUGCCAGCCGCCGCUGUAA
rnacentral:rRNA from 1 species